UUGCCCCCUUUUGCUUCAGGAAUGUCGCUGUUCGGCCCCCUCAGACGUGGCACCAGUCUGGUGGCAGACUGAAGGAUUUAGAAAACACAGACAAGACCAUGCUUUCAUCAGCCACCCGCGGCAAUCCUGCAUCCGAAUCACCUCAUCUUAUAAUCCGGAAGAUUCCAUGCCAGUGCCUUGUCUACGAACGUCUGUUUGGGAUGCUGCCGGCAUGUGCCAGCUCAGCGAGACGGAGGCGAGGAGGAUAGAAGGAAGGAUAUGCAGGAUUCCUGAAGACGUAACUGCCGUUCGGUGUCGUAGGGAAGACAUCCAGCGGUUUGAUUUCUGCAGUGGGAGCUUGGAAAGAUAUGUCUCAGCAGUUCUAUAGUAACGAUCAUCUUCUUUGUUGUCAAUUGUGAAGGAAGGAGAUGCAAGAUUCCCGAAGACGAAGCUACUGCUUGGUGUCGUCGGGAAAACAUCCUACGGUUUGGUUUCUACAGCACGUGGAAGCUUGAAAAUACAUGUUGCAGUGCUACAAUAAUAAUCACGCAAAGCACAUUCUUCCUCUUUUCUACAGUGCCGUCCUGGGAAUUUACUUUAAGUAACUUGCAAAAUGUUGACCUGCUCUGUUGACCGAAGGUAAUCUUUUGUUAGCUUGUCCGAUAAGUUUCAUGAUGCGUUUUUUUUGUUGACCUUAAGGUAUCUACAGGAUUUAUUGCGAACUCGAUUCUGAUUCCUGAAUGCUGUUUGAGCUUCUGCCUCUUCAAGCAAAACCAAUGUUUCAGAGAUUAGCCAAUGUACUAAUCACUCUUGCUUGCGUAUCAGUAACUUCCAUGUUUAACCAUCGCUGCAUAAGAAAUAAGGUCCUGGGAUGAAUGUAUAAUUAAUCGGGUUUUUCAGGAAUGCAAAUUCCAAAUUAGGGAGCCACAGUAAGGAGGCAGGGUGUGUCCAAAGACCAUUUGCUAUUCAGCGGAGGAAGCAGUAUUUUUUUUAUGUUGUUUAACUUAAUGAUGGACUAAAGCUACAAUCGUUAAUAAUUUAGAUGAACACAGACACAGAUUGUGGUCAGAGAUGUGUUUGAGUCUCUUGUACAUUAAUGUAUAAAACACAACCUCAUUUGAAAUAAUACUAUAAUUAAUACAUUAAGAAAUGUAUGAAAUUAUAUUAAAAUAAAUGGAAUAAAAAAAAAAUAACAGGACUCAGAAAAGAACCCUGAAGAAAUUUAGACCAGGUAGCAGUAAUAGUUUGAAAAAAAUGAAAUGAUGUUUAUUGCUAGUUUGACAUUUAA